CCUACGGGUGGCAGCAGUGAGGAAUAUUGGUCAAUGGACGAGAGUCUGAACCAGCCAAGUAGCGUGAAGGAUGACUGCCCUAUGGGUUGUAAACUUCUUUUAUAAAGGAAUAAAACGAGGCACGUGUGCCUGUUUGCAUGUACUUUAUGAAUAAGGAUCGGCUAACUCCGUGCCAGCAGCCGCGGUAAUACGGAGGAUCCGAUCGUUAUCCGGAUUUAUUGGGUUGAAAGGGAGCGUAGAUGGGUUGUUAAGUCAGUUGGGAAAGUUUGCGGCUCAACCGUAAAAUUGCAAUUGAUACUGGCAGUCUUGAUUACAGUUGCGGUCGGCGGACUUCGUGUUGUAGCGGU
rnacentral:rRNA from 1 species